rfam:Trichobilharzia regenti genome assembly, scaffold: TRE_scaffold0007487
CUGGCUUCUUGGCUCUCUGAGCUAAGAUCAUGUGUAGUAUCUGUUCUUUGCAGUGUAGUUUCUACAACGGUCUCAAAACUGAGACUAAUGAAAUUACCUGUAUAUUUCCCUUACGGGCAGGUGCUGUGAGCUUGCUCAACCCCGUCCACGGGUCGGCCUCGUAUUGCAUUAACUCGGGGAUUGGCCCUUUAUUG